rnacentral:rRNA from 1 species
AUCGAACGCUGGCGGCAUGCCUAACACAUGCAAGUCGAACGAGUGGCGGACGGGUGAGUAAUGUCUGGGAAACUGGCUGAUGGAGGGGGAUAAGUAUGGGAAACGUUAGCUAAUACCGCAUAACAUCAUAUGGGCCGAUGUGGGAUGAGGGAGCUGGUGGGGUAACGGCUAACAAAGGCGACGAUCCCUAGCGUGUCUGAGAGGAUGACCGGCAACACGGGAACUGAGACACGGUGCAGACUCCUACGGGAGGCGGCAGUGGGGAAUAUUUGACAAUGGGCGAAAGCCUGAUGCAGCAAUGCCGCGUGUGUGAAGAAGGCCUUCGGGUUGUAAAGUACUUUCGGCGGGGAGGCGUUACCCGCCGAGAAAGCCCCGGCUAACUCCGUGCCAGCAGCCGCGGUAAUAC